rnacentral:rRNA from 1 species
GGGCUGCAGUAUUUUGACUGUACAAAGGUAGCAUAAUCAAUAGUCUCUUAAUUGGUGACUUGUAUGAAAGAUUGGAUGAGAUAUAUACUGUCUCCUGUUAAUUUAUAGAAAUUAAUUUUUUAGUAAAAAAGCUAAAAUAAUUUUAAAAGACGAGAAGACCCUAUAGAGUUUAAUAAUUUAUUUAAUUAUUAUUAAUAUAUAAUUUUUAAAAUUAAAAUUAAAUAAAUUAUUUUGUUGGGGUGAUAGAAAAAUUAAAUUAACUUUUUUUAAUUAUUUACAUUAAUUUAUGGUUAAAUGAUCCAUUUAUAAUGAUUAAAAGAAAAAAUUACCUUAGGGAUAACAGCGUAAUUUUUUUUUUUAGUUCAAAUAGGAAGAAAAGUUUGCGACCUCGAUGUUGGAUUAA